UUAAUUAAAGCCAAAUAGAGGCUUUUCAUUGUUAAUGAAAAAAUUGAGUCAAACUCUAAUUAAA
rnacentral:tRNA from 1 species